rnacentral:rRNA from 1 species
UACGUAGGGGGCAAGCGUUGUCCGGAAUUAUUGGGCGUAAAGCGCACGUAGGCGGCUUUGCAAGUCGGAUGUGAAAUCCCUCGGCUCAACCAAGGAAGUGCAUCCGAAACUGCAGAGCUUGAGUACUUAAGAGGAUCGCGGAAUUCCCGGUGUAGAGGUGAAAUUCGUAGAUAUCGGGAGGAACACCAGUGGCGAAGGCGGCGAUCUGGGAAGAUACUGACGCUGAGGUGCGAAAGCGUGGGGAGCAAACAGG